GACAAGGGCGCUACGGUGGAUGCUUGACACUAGGAGUCGAAUGGGACGGGACAGACGCGAUAUGCUUCGGGGAGCCUGUAAGUAAGGCUUUGAUCCGAAGAUUUUCCGAAUGGGGAAACCCACCAUAACGUAAUGGUAAUGGUUAUCUUAUUUGAAUACAAUAGGGUAAGGAAGACAGACCCAGGGAACUGAAACCUCUAAAGUAACCCUGGAGGAAGAGAAAAGCAAAUGCGAUAUUCCCUGAGUAACGGCGAGCGAAAACGGAACAUAUGCCCAAACAGCGGCUUGCCUCUUGGGUGUAGGACAUAUCUAAUACGGAGUUACAAAGGAACGAGGUAAAACGAAAGCGACCCUGGAAAGGUCCGUCGUAGAGGUAACAACCCGUAGUCGAGAACUCGUUUCUCAUCUAGAAAUGUAUCCUGAGUACGGCGGAAAACACGUGAAAUUCCGUCGGAAUCUGGGAGGACCAAUCUCUCAAGGCUAAAUACUCCUAGGUGAUCGAUAGUGACCGUACCCGUGGAGGGAAAGGUAAAAGCACCGCCCCGGAAGGGGGUGAAAGAGAUCCUGAAACCGUGUGCCUACAAAAUAGUCAGAGCCCGUUAACGGGUGUGGCUGGCCUUUUGUAGAAUGAACCGCGAGUUAAACGAUUCCGUGCGAGUUCAGCUAAGAGGCGGAGCCGCAGCGAAAGCGGUAUGAAUCGGGCGUUUAGUAACGUGGUCGUUAGACCGAAACACAGGUGAUCUACCUGUCAAGGGUGAAGUUAGGUAACACUGAAAAUGGAGGCCCGAACCCACGCACGUUGAAAAGUGCGGGGAAUGAGGUGUUGGGUAGCGGAGAAAUUCCAAUCGAAACCUGGAGAUUAGCUGGUUCUCCCAUCCGCUCGAAGAUAGCUUGUAGGCUAGCCUAAGUGUAAGGUCUGGAGGUAGAGCAUCUGAUUGGACUAGGGGCCUCAUCGAUUCCGAAAUUCAGGUCAAACUCCACAGAGGAUGCCAAUGACUUACCUUAGGAGUCAGACAGUGAAAGACCGUGUCAAAAGGGAAAACAGCCAGACCGCCAGCUAAGGUCCCAAAGUGUGUAUAAUGUGAAAGGAAUGUGGAGUUGCUUAGACAACUAGGAAUGUUGGCUUAAAGCAAGCCACAUUUAAAGAGUGCGUAAUAGCUCACUAGUCGAGUGACUCUGCGCCGAAAAUGUACCGGGGCUAAUAACCACCGAAAGCUCGGAUGAUACCGAAUGGUAAUCAGUGGUAGGGGAGCGUUCUAAGGAAUGAAGUCCAGAGACCGUAAGGACUGGGGUGCUUAGAGUGAGAAUGCCGGUGAUGAGUAGCGAAAGGACGGUGAGAAUCCGUCCACCGAAUGCCUAAGGUUUCCUGAGGAAGGCUCGUCCGCCUCAGGUUAGUCAGGACCUAAGCGAGGCCGGACAGGCGUAGGCGGUGGGAACAACAGGUUUGAUAUUCGCUGUACCACCUCUUACGUUGAGGCAAUGGAAGGACGCAGAAGGAUAGAAGAAAAGCGUGCGAUUGGUUGUGCACGUCCAAGCAGUUAGGCUGAUAAUAGGCAAAUCGCUUUAUCGUGAAGGCUGAGCUGUGAUGGGGAAGCUCCUUAUGGAGCGAAAGUCUUUGAUUCCCCGUGGCCUAAGAAAAGCUUCUAGCGAGAUAAGAAAGGUGGCCUGUACCGCAAACCGACACAGUAGGGCGAAUGAGAAUCCUUAGGUGUGCGAGAGAAUCUCUGGUUAACGUAACUCGGCAAAAAAGACCCCGAAACUUCGGGAGAAGGGUGUGCUUCUUAACGGGAAAGCACGCAGUGAAUAGCGCCCCAAGCGACUGUUAGGCAAAAACACAGCUCUCUGCGAACGUAAAGGCCGAAGUAUAGGGGGUGACACCUGCCCGGUGCUGGAAGGUAAGGAGAGGUUAGCUAAGCGAAGCUCUACUGAAAGCCCCAGUUAAACGGCGGCCGUAACUAUAACGGUCCUAAGUAGCGAAAAUUCCUUGUCGGUAAGUUCCGACCCGCAGCGAAAGGUUAACGAUUUGGGCACUGUCUCAACCAGAGACUCGUGAAAUUAUAGUACCUGUGAAGAUGCAGGAUUACCCGCGCACAGGACGGGAAGACCCGCGUGGAAGCUUUACUGUAGCCUGGUAUGAAUUUUGGUACAGUUACAGAUAGCGACCAUUGAAACCGGAGCGCUAGCUUCGGUGGAGGCGCUGGUGCGGAUACCGCCCUGACUGUAUUGAAAUUCUAACCUACGGGUCUUUAUCGACCCGGAGACAGUGUUUCAGGGGGCAGUUUGACUGCGCGGGUCGCCUCCUAAAGUGUAACGGAGGCGCCCCAAAGGUUUCCCUCAGAAUGGUUGGAAAUCAUUCGUAAGUCAAAAGGCAUAAGGAGCUUGACUGCGAGACCUACAAGUCGAGCAGGGACGAAAGUCGGGCUUAGUGAUCCGGUGGUUCCGCAUGGAAGGGCCAUCGCCUCAACGGAUAAAAAGCUACCCCGGGCAUAACAGGCUUAAUCUCCCCAAGAGUCCAGCAUCGACGGGGAGGGUUUGGCACCCGAGUCGGCUCAUCGCAUCCGGGCGUAGUCGCGUCCCAGGUUUGGCUGUUCGCCCAUAAGAGCGGUACGCGAGUGAGGUUCAUAACGUCGUGAGACAGUUCGGUCCCUAUCCGUCGUGGGCGUAGGAAAUUGAGAGGAGCUUCCUUUAGUACGAGAGGACCGUGAUGGACGCACCGCGGUGUACCAGUUGUUCUGCCAAGGGCAUAGCUGGUAGCUAUGUGCGGAAGGAUAAGUGCUGAAAGGCACUAAGCAUUGAGCCCCCCUCAAGAUGAAUUUUCCCAUACGUAGCUAGUAGAUCCGAAAGAUGAUCAGGUUGAUAGGUCGAGGUGGAAGCUGUGACAUUGUGGAGCUGACGAUACUAAUAGAUCUUGUAGCGACUUAACCAUA
rnacentral:rRNA from 1 species